GUUUUCUUUUUGCAGUUGCAUUGUGGAGGCACCUAUUUUCUUUCUGCUCUCAUGAGAUAUGCUGUUCCAAAUAACUACACAGGUAGUGAGCAGAGUUUGGGGAUUACUGUUCCCACCAACACAUUUCUUAUAUUUUCCAAUAUUUUAGGAUAGAAAUAACAUGGAGCUUUAAUUUCAACUGUUUUGUAGGGACAGAGCCUCAAGGGGCUACACACAUCUUCCCACUCAAUAUCUCUGAUGUAAUCUCA
rnacentral:lncRNA from 1 species